rnacentral:lncRNA from 1 species
GUGGUUUGCAGGCAUGAGGUGGCCACCACCAAACUUUAGUCAGUCAAUAGCCAGCAGGCUCUGCAUGGGCAUCAGCCCUUGGACACAAAAGUGACUAAAAGGAGCUGCUAAAUGCCCCAGUAGGGCUUCUGAGAAGAAAGGGCAGCAGAGUACCAGGAGGAGAAGCCUAAAGAACAAAAUGCAUUUGCUGAUCCUGGGGGAGCUUGCAGUUUCUAUGCCCUUGAUACUGUUACCAAGCUGAGCAAGAGGGAGAGGAAGCAGUGCUCAGCGGGUGAUAACCAGAACUUCUUGAAAUUUUAAAGGACGGCUAAGUGGUUAACCAGGGAAAAACUGUGAUUAAAUUAU